rnacentral:rRNA from 1 species
UACGGGGGGGAGCAAGCGUUGUUCGGAUUUACUGGGCGUAAAGGGCGCGUAGGCGGUCAGCACAAGUCAGUUGUGAAAUCUCCGGGCUUAACUCGGAAAGGUCAACUGAUACUGUGCGACUAGAGUGCGGAAGGGGCAACUGGAAUUCUCGGUGUAGCGGUGAAAUGCGUAGAUAUGUGGAGGAAUACCGAUGGCGAAGGCAGCCUCCUGGGCCAACACUGACGCUCAUGCACGAAAGCGUGGGAGCAAACAGGAUUAGA